rnacentral:rRNA from 1 species
AUACGUAGGGGGCGAGCGUUGUCCGGAAUGAUUGGGCGUAAAGGGCGCGUAGGCGGCCCGGUAAGUCUGGAGUGAAAGUCCUGUUUUUAAGAUGGGAAUUGCUUUGGAUACUGUCGGGCUUGAGUGCAGGAGAGGUAAGUGGAAUUCCCAGUGUAGCGGUGAAAUGCGUAGAGAUUGGGAGGAACACCAGUGGCGAAGGCGACUUACUGGACUGGAACUGACGCUGAGGCGCGAAAGCGUGGGGAGCGAACAGGAUGAGAUACCCUGGUAGUCCACGCUGUAAACGAUGAAUGCUAGGUGUAGGGGGUAUCGACCCCUCCUGUGCCGGAGUAAACGCAAUAAGCAUUCCGCCUGGGGAGUACGGCCGCAAGGUUGAAACUCAAAGGAAUUGACGGGG